rnacentral:lncRNA from 1 species
UUUACAGUACAUGAGUUUGUGCUUUUUUUUUUUUUAAGUAGGUUAAUGAUCUCAAGUAGAUCGAUCAAUAUUGUCAGAGCCUGCGGCUGAAGUAAAUUUUACUCGGAUUCUGGCACAAGACACAGGAAAAGGAGACCAAGAAAGACAAGCUACAGGGGCCAUCCUCGGAACACAACUUCGCAAAGUGCUGGCUGGCAGCCUGGUCUCCAGAAGUCACGCUGACUUUAUCCUUUUAUGGGUAUAGAGAACGAUCCUUUUAUGGAUUGCCUCAGCCCCACUCCCCACGUCCUGCCAUCUUGAAUUCCUGGUCAGCAUUUGCCCUCCAGAGAAAGGUUGAACCUCCCGAGGCUGAGGUAACCCAUAGCUAGUCUGUGCUGUCCAGAAGAUGGCAUGGGGUCCCACAAAGGAGGUACAAUCUCACGC